rnacentral:rRNA from 2 species
AAAUUGAAGAGUUUGAUCAUGGCUCAGAUUGAACGCUGGCGGCAGGCCUAACACAUGCAAGUCGAGCGGCAGCGGGAAAGUAGCUUGCUACUUUUG